CUUAAGCAGAAGACCCGAGUCGCCGCGUGAGGCACAAUGUAGCGAUCCAACAGAGCAUUGCGCACCCAAAUUCGGCCUGGUGUGCUACCAGCGGCCUCUUAAUUUUGUAUGACGAGUGUUCGAGACGCGGACUGGUUUGCACUACCAAGUCUAUCAGAAAUUUUGGUCGACACUGGCCUCUUAAUUUUGUAUGACGAGUCUUUGAGACGCGGACUGGUUUGCACUACCAAGUCUAUCAGAAAUUUUGGUCGACAGUGGCUUGGUCAAUAGCGUCGUACUUUAGAGUUUCUUCUGGAACGGAUACCCAGUCGGGAGGACAUAGUCAUGCACGAUGACAAUAGAG
rnacentral:lncRNA from 1 species